UACGUAGGUCGCAAGCGUUGUCCGGAUUUACUGGGCGUAAAGAGCGCGCAGGCGGCUGGUCAAGUCCGAUGUGAAAUCUCCCGGCUCAACUGGGAAACUGCAUCGGAAACUGAUCGGCUUGAAGAUGGGAGAGGGUAGUGGAAUUCCCGGUGUAGUGGUGAAAUGCGUAGAUAUCGGGAGGAACACCAGUGGCGAAGGCGACUACUUGGCCCAUUCUUGACGCUGAGGCGCGAAAGCUAGGGGAGCGAACGGG
rnacentral:rRNA from 1 species